GUCGUCUUUGGUGUAGAUCGGCGUAAAGGGUUUAAGCCCUUUUUUGAGGUUCUCUUCGUUCCAUGCCAGCAGGAUGGCC
rnacentral:tRNA from 1 species